CAAGAAACAUAGUAGAAGCGAGAAGAAAAACAUAGCAAACAAUUAAUAAUUGAAGCGGUCACCUCGUCUAUGGAAGCACUCAUGUUGACGGAGACGUGUCUGCUAUUCCCUCUUCUAUAAGGCAUAUUAAAAUUGUCUUUAUAUUCUUGGUACUUCCUUUACUUUCAUUUAUAUUCAUUCCUUUUUCAUUGUAGUACCAAUCUCCUUUUAGAUUUGAAUCUUUCCUUCUUUGGCGAAGUACCAAUCAAGAUAUAUUCUUGCUUAAUGCAUCUUCAUUGGUAGUCCAAAAUAUUUGCUUGUAGAGUCUUCCUAAAAUAACUCUUAAGUUCUUUCUACUAGAUCUUGAUUUGUAUCACUUUGAUUCUAGUCACGUGCUUCUUCUUGAACAUGGACUUUUUACUGUAUUGAUCUCUCUAAAUGAUAUCAACAACAACAACAAUCCCCUAUCCCUAUUCUGAGGUAGAGAGGCUGUUUCCAAUUAGACCCCCGGCAUACUUCCCUCCAAGAACUUCCCACCUUGUUCUUGGGGAGACUCGAACUCACAACCUCUCGGUUGGAAGUAGGGGUUGCUUACCAUCAGAACAACCCCUCUUGUCUAAAUGAUAUCAUUUUUGAUAUCAUCUCCUUCAAUUCAAAUACUUUCCAAAAUAUAGGUUGGGUAGUAAGAAUAUUCUUACUUGCAACCGGUAGGAAAUAUUUCCUUGCCAAAUUCUUCCUGGACUUGGACUACUCAUUUGUAUCAUACAAAAUAUCUAGUAAGCUUGAUGUGCAAUUUCUUUCCUUUAGUAAGUAAGUACUGUUGGAUUCUCCAAAUCUCUUCCUUGAUCAAGGCAGCAUAUUUGCUCCUUAAAAUAUUUCAUUCUAUCUCCUUCCAAUAAAAUAUUUUCUUCUUAUCCUUUGAAUAUAAUUUUUCCAAGCUGCUUCUCUUUCACAAUCUUUUACCAUAGUAUGCUUCUAUAACAUAGCCAUUAGCUUUGGUCUUUCCUUUUAUAUAACAUCUUCUAUAUCUCCUUCAUUCUUCU
rnacentral:lncRNA from 1 species